AUUGAACGCUGGCGGAAUGCUUUACACAUGCAAGUCGAACGGCAGCACGGGGGCAACCCUGGUGGCGAGUGGCGAACGGGUGAGUAAUAUAUCGGAACGUGCCCAGUCGUGGGGGAUAACGUAGCGAAAGUUACGCUAAUACCGCAUACGAUCUACGGAUGAAAGCGGGGGAUCGCAAGACCUCGCGCGAUUGGAGCGGCCGAUAUCAGAUUAGGUAGUUGGUGGGGUAAAGGCUCACCAAGCCAACGAUCUGUAGCUGGUCUGAGAGGACGACCAGCCACACUGGGACUGAGACACGGCCCAGACUCCUACGGGAGGCAGCAGUGGGGAAUUUUGGACAAUGGACGCAAGUCUGAUCCAGCCAUUCCGCGUGCAGGACGAAGGCCUUCGGGUUGUAAACUGCUUUUGUACGGAACGAAAAAGCUCUUACUAAUACUAGGAGUCCAUGACGGUACCGUAAGAAUAAGCACCGGCUAACUACGUGCCAGCAGCCGCGGUAAUACGUAGGGUGCGAGCGUUAAUCGGAAUUACUGGGCGUAAAGCGUGCGCAGGCGGUUAUAUAAGACAGAUGUGAAAUCCCCGGGCUCAACCUGGGAACUGCAUUUGUGACUGUAUAGCUAGAGUGCGGCAGAGGGGGAUGGAAUUCCGCGUGUAGCAGUGAAAUGCGUAGAUAUGCGGAGGAACACCGAUGGCGAAGGCA
rnacentral:rRNA from 1 species